rnacentral:rRNA from 1 species
CAGUCAUAUGCUUCGUUCAAGGGCUAAGCCAUGCAUGUCUCAGCGCAAACGGUGCUCAACAGUGGGUCUGUGAAUGGCUCCUUACAUCAGCAGUCAUCUACGUGAUAGCGUGUGUUGGCACCGACCCUCGCCAUAGGAACCCAAGGUGCUCAGUUGGACAUCCUCCAAAACCUGGUGGCUAAUACACGCAGGCCCAGGUCGGCCACGGCACGACUGCGCUCAAGUUGCCUCAUCUCGCUUGCGCCAUUUCGGUGGCCGAUAGCACCCAGCCGGGCGUAAGACCAGUGCCUUCAGAAGGCAGCGUGCUUGUGGUUGAUUCAGGCUGGUCCCGAUCGAACCCAUCCGUGGUCGGGGCGGUCACCGUGUGGCGUGCGCGUCCCCUCGGGGGCCCACGUCCCGCGCCCGCCCCGGGGUGGGACAAACCGUGCUGGCAGAGAGUUGGUGCGGCCCUCCCCCCGCGGGGGGGUCGCACGCACUGCUUGAUCACACGAACUUCUGACCUAUCAGCUCUGACUGUGGUGUAGUGGACCACAGUGGCGGUGACGGGUAACGGAGAAUCAGGGUUCGAUUCCGGAGAGGGAGCCUGAGAGACGGCUACCACUACCAAGGUGGGCAGCAGGCGCGCAAAUUGCCCAAUCCAAACACAUCUGGGAGGCAGCGACGAACCGCAGCAAUCCCGCUGGCCUUUCACGCCAGCGGGACUUGGAAUGGAUGCAAUCCAAACACAGUGAUGAGUAUCAACUGGAGGGCAAGUCUGGUGCCAGCAGCUGCGGUAAUUCCAGCUCCAAGGGCGUAUACUAACAUUGCUGCUGUUAAAACACCUGUAGUCUGCCACUGGGUUGCGGGGUCCGCCGGGCGGCCGGCGUUGUGCGGGGUGUCCCCACGGGACCGGCGAGUCGACCUCGGUCGUGCUCCGCCGGGUCCGCUGGGGCCCCCGUGCGCGCUGGGACACAACCCCCGGCGGUAUGGCCCCGCGCCCGCUUCCGUCCAAAGGAUCACCGACGGUGCGACCUGCUCCUGCGGAAAGCCCCCUUCAGUGGGGGCCGACGCGGUAUCACCCCGGACGCUUGUGUGCGACAGCCAGAGUCGGUGGGUGGGGCCCUCCGCCAGCGCCCCACGUGCAUGAGGCCACCGCCUGUGUCCACCUCCGGAGCCCACCGUUAUCGACACUGUGGAAAACCCAGCGUGCCCCAAGCAGCCUCUCGUUAUGACGGCUGAAUGCCCGUCCAUGGAAUGUCAGAGCAUCGACCGAACGAUAAUCACAAACCCCGCCGUCGGCCCGCCCCCGCACUCCCCCCGGGGGGUGCGUGGGGCCCGGCGGUCGGGGCAGGCAUUGGAGUUGUACUGGCCUUGGAGCCCGUUCUUGGGCAAUGUGGUGCGUGCCCCGCACCCGCCGAGGCCGGGACCCUCGGGUUCUCGCGGCCCGUCACUCCCACCCCGUCCGCGGGGUGCGGUGGGACGGUACGCCCCCCGCCCGGCCCUCGCGGGGACCGUGUGGCGCGCAUCGACCGUCCCCGAGGGGACCGUUCAGGGUGAAAGAUACUGCAACGCCAGAGGUGAAAUUCUUAGACCGCUGCAAGAUCGACCGCAGCGAAGGCGUUCUGCAAGCGCGUGUUCGUCGAUCAAGGAUGAGAGUCCGGGGAGCAAAGAUGAUCAGACACCGUCGUAGUCCGGCACCGUAAACCGUGCCAGCCCGGCCUCGGGAGGGACAGUCCAAAGACCCUCCCGGUGCCAGUCCCCCUACAACGAGAAAUCCACAGCCUGUGGGUUCAGGGGGGAGUACGUUCGCAAGGCUGAAACUUAAAGGAAUUGACGGAAUGGCACCACAAGGCGUGGAGUAUGCGGCUUAAUUUGACUCAACACGGGGAAUGUUACCAGGUCAGGACACAGCCGGGAUGGACAGAUUGAGAGCUCUUUCUUGAUCCUGUGGACGGUGGUGCAUGGCCGCUCCUGAUUGGUGGAGUGAUUUGUCUGGUUGAUUCCGAUAACGAGUGAGAUAUCUGCCUCCCAGUAGCCCGGGGCUCGCAUUCGGUAGGGUCGGCCCCCCGGCAUGCCCCCCGUUCGUCCGCCCCCCACGCGUUCGCGCGUGGGUGCGGUGGGGCGGGCGGGGGCGCCCCGGGGCUCCCGAGAGCCUCCCGUGUUUCAAAGCUUCUCUGAGGUGCUGCGUUCGCUGCCAAGAGCGCGCAUGCUAGAGCCAACAGCAGGUCUGUGAUGCUCCCAGAUGUCCUGGGCCGCACGCGCACUACAUUGGUGCAGUGAAGGAGUCACCCGCUCCCUCCGUGGAGCCCUGGCCGGAAGUGGCUGGGAAACCCUGCAAGCCUGCGCCGUACUGGGGAUAGAUGAUUGCAACUGUCUGCCUUGAACGUGGAAUGCCUAGUAUGCCUUGGUCAUCAGCCAAGACCGAUUGCGUCCCUGCCAUUUGUACACACCGCCCGUCGUUGCUACCGAUGACAGCUGGAUAGAACCAUCAGGAGGUCGCCGCCCCCCCUCCGCGGGGGGCCAGCCAAAAUUKGGUGAUGCCCAGCUGUUAGAGGAAGCAAAA